rnacentral:rRNA from 1 species
UAUUGAUUGUAAAGUUUAAUCCAUGUUAUUAAUAGUUAUGAUCUUAAAAUUAAAAGGAUUUGGCGGUAAUUUAGUCUUUCCAGAGGAAUCUGCCCUGUAAUCGAUAGCCCACGAUUUAUGUUACUUUAUUUAAGCUUAUAUAUCUCUGUCAUUGGAUGNNNNANNAGAAUUUAUUUUCGGUUCUCUUUAUGGGAUUAAUGUCAGGUCAAGGUGUAGCGAUAAUAAAGAAGAGGUGGAUUACAUUAAAAGUAUUUAUGGAUUGUUUAGAAGUUGAAAUGAUUGCUUUGAAAUUGGAUUUGGGAGUAAUUUUUAUUAUUAUGUANAUUUUGACUUUGGCUCUGAAUUAUG